CACGUAGGGGGCGAGCGUUGUCCGGAAUCACUGGGCGUAAAGCGCACGUAGGCGGCUUUCUAAGUCAGGGGUGAAAUCCUGGAGCUCAACUCCAGAACUGCCUUUGAUACUGGAGAGCUUGAGUCCGGGAGAGGUGAGUGGAACUCCGAGUGUAGAGGUGAAAUUCGUAGAUAUUCGGAAGAACACCAGUGGCGAAGGCGGCUCACUGGCCCGGUACUGACGCUGAGGUGCGAAAGCGUGGGGAGCAAACAGG
rnacentral:rRNA from 1 species